rnacentral:rRNA from 1 species
UACGUAGGGGGCUAGCGUUGUCCGGAUUUAUUGGGCGUAAAGAGCGUGUAGGCGGCCAGGUAGGUCUGGUGUGAAAACUCGAGGCUUAACCUCGAGAUGUCAUCGGAAACCAUUUGGCUAGAGUCCAGAAGAGGAGAGUGGAAUUCCUGGUGUAGCGGUGAAAUGCGCAGAUAUCAGGAAGAACACCAAUGGCGAAAGCAGCUCUCUGGGACGGUACUGACGCUGAGACGCGAAAGCGUGGGGAGCGAACAGG